CAAUAGCGUAUAUUAAAGUUGUUGCGGUUAAAAGCUCGUAGUUGGAUUUCUGCCGAGGACGACCGGUCCGCCCUCUGGGUGAGCAUCUGGCUCGGCCUGGGCAUCUUCUUGGAGAACGUAUCUGCACUUGACUGUGUGGUGCGGUAUUCAGGACUUUUACUUUGAGGAAAUUAGAGUGUUUCAAGCAGGCAUACGCCUUGAAUACAUUAGCAUGGAAUAAUAAGAUAGGACCUCGGUUCUAUUUUGUUGGUUUCUAGAGCUGAGGUAAUGAUUAAUAGGGAUAGUUGGGGGCGAUUAGUAUUUAAUUGUCAGAGGUGAAAUUCUCAGAUUAACUAAAGACUAACUUAUGCGAAAGCAUUUGUCCAAGGAUGUUUUCUAUUAAUCAAGAACGAAAGUUAAGGGGAGUCAAAGAAUGAUCAGAUACCAU
rnacentral:rRNA from 1 species